GACGAACGCUGGCGGCGUGCCUAAUACAUGCAAGUCGAACGCAGUGGGGACGGGUGAGUAACACGUGGGUAACCUCCCAUCAGAGGGGAUAACACUUGGAAACAGGUGCUAAACCGAUACUGAUGGAUGGACCCGCGGUGCAUUAGCUAGUUGGUAAGGUAACGGCUCACCAAGGCCACGAUGCCUAGCUGGCCUGAGAGGAUGAUCGGCCACACUGGGACGGAGACACGGCCCAGACUCCUACGGGAGGCAGCAGUGGGGAAUGUUGGGCAAUGGACGAAAGCCUGACCGAGCAACGCCGCGUGAAUGAAGAAGGUUUUCGGGUCGUAAAGCUCUGUUGUUAGGGAAGCGGUAUCUAACCAAGAAGCCACGGCUAACUACGUGCCAGCAGCCGCGGUAAUAC
rnacentral:rRNA from 1 species